CAUAUAUGACAACAGAAAACAAAAAUUAGUGGAUUUUUUUUUGGAAGAAUAGACAAAAGAAAAUGGCCGGCCGACAUUUGUAGAAGACGAAGUGGAGCUUUGAAGAAAAAUGGCGGUGCUAGGGUUUCAAGAACAAAGCUCAGUGAGAUCAGGUUACAGAGCUGGAGCUGCAAGCCCUGACUCUGUUAUAUGCACUCUGGAAGCGAAUUUCAGCCUCUUCUCUUCGGCUUCCGCUAGUGUCGAUCGUUGCUCUUUUGCUUCUGAUGCUCAUGACCACGAUUCUUUCGCUUCCGAAAUAUCUUUACAUUUGGCAGGAGAAGAAAGUGGAGAUCAGAAUGAGAGUUCGUGUGGACCAGAUCCAGAUCCAAACAAAGCUAUAACAGUCCAUAAGCACAUUCGCCUCUCCAGAAAAGGAGAAAAAGUGAAGGAGUGUCAGGAUAGGAGGACUAGAUCUGACGCUUUGCUGAAGAAUCAUGAUAGGCGAAGACCAGCGUCAUUAGAUCUAAAUAAUGUCUCUGGUUUGUCUCCACGGUUGGGGGCUGUGAAGAAAACAUCUGUUGUUUCACGGAAAUUGGGUGCAUUUCCUAGUCCUGGGACACCCAAUUAUCAUCAUUACUCGAGUGUUGGGAUGCAGAAGGGUUGGAGUUCUGAGCGUGUGCCAUUGCACAACAAUGGUGGAAGGAGGCAAGGGAAUGCUGCUGGCUUGUUGGCUUUUAACAAUGGAAGGACUUUGCCUUCAAAAUGGGAAGAUGCUGAGAGGUGGAUUUGUAGUCCUGUUUCUGGGGGAACUGGUGGAAGGCAAUCUAUUGUGGCUCCGCAGAGAAGACCAAAAUCAAAGAGUGGUCCACUUGGUCCUCCAGGGAUUGCUUACUAUUCGCUGUACUCUCCUGCGUUGCAAAUGUUUGAUGGGGGACAUAUGGGAAAUUUCAUGGCUGGUUCUCCUUUUUCAGCUGGCGUAAUUGCCGCUGAUGGUUUGACAACUCAUUCUCGUAACCAUGGUGGAGAAUUUUCUGCUCGGACCGAGUCUUGCAUGGCCCGUUCUGUUAGCAUGCAUGGAUGCACUGAGAUAGCAAACCCACCAUUGUUAUCUUCGCAAGAUGCAGAAGAAAAUCUUGAUGCCGUCAAGGAUGCAGCCACUGAUAUUUCUCGAACUGUCUCAAGAAGAGACAUGGCGACCCAAAUGAGCCCACAGAGUAGUACCUAUUCAUCUCCCAAAGGAAGGCCUUCUUUCUCUACCUCCUCCCUAUCGGCUCUGCCUAUCAUGGAACUGCUGAACAUCCAUUCCUCUAAAUCAGAACUGAGAGAUGUGCCGCUAGAUGAAAGAGUCACAAUGACUAGGUGGUCAAAGAAGCAUAGAGCUCGAAACACUGGGAAGAGCUCAGUAAUUGUUGAUGAUUGGAGAAAGAAAGCUGUUGAUACUUGUACAUCAACAUGGGAUGUGACAGAGACAGGAAAGAGCAUUUCCAAGAUCAAAAGAGAAGAAGCCAAAAUCACUGCCUGGGAAAAUCUGCAGAAGGCAAAAGCUGAGGCAGCCAUAAGGAAACUAGAGAUGAAGCUAGAAAAGAAGAGAUCUUCAUCGAUGGAUAAGAUAAUGAAUAAGCUAAGAUCAGCUCAGAAGAGGGCACAAGAAAUGAGAAGUUCGAUGCUGACCAACCAGGCUCAACAAGCAAAGUCCUCGCAUAUGGCUUUAUCUUUCCGGAGAACCCGCCAGAUGGGUUCAUUGAGUGGUUGUUUCACCUGCCAUGCUUUUUAGUGCCUUAGCUAUCUGUUACUGGUUCAAUCAGACCAGAAAUGCCGGGUAAUUUCUAUUUGCAAGGUUUGAAGAACAAAGUUCACUGGCGAUGAUGAAUAUUGUACAUGAAGCAACUAUUACAUGGACACCAUUUUAUGUCGCUACAGUUUUGAUUGAAUGAAGCACUGCUACCUACAUCAGAAUUCCCAAUCAGUCCAAUACCCCAAUUGCCUUGCCCUGGGACUUCCACGGUUUCCUGAUCGUUUGACUAAUAAAAUCCUGUACGCAUGUAUGUAUGUAAAUCAACCUUCCAAGUAUUUAUCGCGUAUUUCAUGAUAUGACAGUUUGCCAUGGA